rnacentral:lncRNA from 1 species
CGGAUCCGAGGAAUGAAUGUGGGGUGGGGGCGCGAGGGAAACUUUCCCGGCGCCUCUCCCUGGCCGGGGAAGGGGCAUCCCUCUGCUCCUCCAGCCCGGGGAGUCCUCCUCCGGGUCUGAAUCUGCGGCGUCACAGCUGGCGAAAGGGCCGGUCUCCGUGGCCCUGGAUGUCUGAGCAGGCAUCUGGGGUUCCCCGGUCAAGGGUCAGGUAACCCUGGGCUCCGAUAGAUACCCCCGCCCCAGGGUGGGUAGUUUUGCUUGAAAAAGAAGAGCCCUGCUUGGGGGUGGGGCGCCAAGAUCCCUGCCUAAGAAAGACCUCCAGCUCCUCCGUGAGCCCUGUCCCCUCCCCCGUUUUCCAAGAGGUCUCAGACUCCGAAUGGGGUUCAGGCCUGAUCAGAGAAGGCUACCAUCCCCCACAGUCUUUAGGGGGUCUACACCCCUCCCCAUUUUUGCCCCAACCAAGAGAGACCCUGGGGCCUAGACAGGAGGGAAGGUGGGCCUGGGGAGGCCUCUGGACCUGGUGGGGCCGGUCGGGGCUUGCAGACUGUACUUGGAGCUUCAGUGUUGACAGUGAGGACAGUUGUGGGUGUGGAUGUUGAAGGGUGCCCCCCCAAUCCAGAACCGGUGAGGUGCCAGGUGUCUGUAGGGGCAUCGGUAUAGGCAGGCAGGCCCCCAGGGGAGAGUUGUUCCUCUAGGACGCGGCAGAAGGUUCCAAGUGGGACUCUUCAGAUCACUCCCAGGGCCCAGCGCUGGAGCCUGGAGAAGGGGUUUGGGGUCUCCUGGGCUUCAGGCCUCAUGCUGUCACUGGCCAGUCAUCAGGAACCCCAGGCCACUCCAGCCGCCCCAGCCAGCGGGCCCUGGCUUCCCCCUAAGGCCUCAGUGGCAGGAGAGGGUGUGUGUGUGUGGCCCCUGGGGGGGCUGACAGAGCCCUGCUGGAAGCGGGCCCCCAGGCAGGUGUCACUCCUGGGCUCCCUCCCUCCUCAGAUGAGGCUGAUGGCCUGGUGUCAAUCCCCACAGUCCUCUGCUGACCCUGCAGACAGAAAAGGGUCUGCUCACCUCCCCUGUGAGGGGCAACUCCCCCUGACUCCCACCCCAGAGCGGCUUUCCUCCACCAUCGCCCACGAGCAUCCCACCUGCUGCAGGAGGCUCGCUGCGUGGGCAUGA